rnacentral:rRNA from 1 species
AACGAGAUCCUUAGCAAAGCUUGCUUUGCUAAGUCUAGUGGCGAACGGGUGAGUAACACGUGAGCAACCUGCCCAGAAGCAGGGGAUAAGCCACCGAAAGGUGGUCUAAUACCGUAUGUGAUACCAAGAGGCAUCUCUUGGCUAUUAAAGGGGGGGACCUUCGGGCCUCUCACUUCUGGAUGGGCUCGCGGCCUAUCAGCUUGUUGGUGAGGUAACGGCUCACCAAGGCAACGACGGGUAGCUGGUCUGAGAGGACGACCAGUCACACUGGAACUGAGACACGGUCCAGACACCUACGGGUGGCAGCAGUCGAGAAUCAUUCACAAUGGGCGAAAGCCUGAUGGUGCGACGCCGCGUGGAGGAUGACAGCCCUAGGGUUGUAAACUCCUGUCAUGAGAGAGUAAAGACUUAAUGUUAAUACCGUUGGUCCUGAUAGUAUCUCAAGAGGAAGG